CAGCUUCGUCGGACGGUCGCGCGGUAUGUUGCCGCAAGGUAUUACCGUGAGGAAAGUCCGGGCUUCAUAGGACAGGAUAGCUGAUAACGUCAGCCACGGGCAACCGUCGGGAAAGUGCAACAGAAAUAGACCGCCGCGCAAGCGGUAAGGAUGGAAAGGCGAGGUAAGAGCUCACCCGUUCCUAUGGUAACAUAGGUCCGCUGUAAACCCUAUCCGAAGCAACACCUCAAGGAACGUUGGUCCGACAUAGCUUCCGAGGUGGCACGGAGAAUAUUCUCCGAAGCGUCUUGGUGACAAGGCGCGCAGAUUGAUGACCGUCCCCGACAGAACCCGGCUUACAGACGGAGCUGCAAA
rnacentral:RNase_P_RNA from 1 species